rnacentral:rRNA from 1 species
CCUACGGGUGGCAGCAGUGAGGAAUAUUGGUCAAUGGGCGCGAGCCUGAACCAGCCAAGUAGCGUGAAGGAUGACUGCCCUACGGGUUGUACACUUCUUUUAUAAAGGAAUAAAGUUAUGCACGUGUGUCUUUUUGUCUGUACUUUAUGAAUAAGGAUCGGCUACCUCCGUGCCAGCAGCCGCGGUAAUACGGAGGAUCCGCGCGUUAUCCGGAUUUCUUGGGUUUAAAGGGAGCGUAGAUGGGUUGUUAAGUCAGUUGUGAAAGUUUGCGGCUCAAACGUAAAAUUGCAAGUUAUACUGGCAGUCUUGAGUACAGUUGAGGUAGGCGGAAUUCGUGGUGUAGCGGUGAAAUGCUUAGAUAUCACGAAGAACUCCGAUUGCGAAGGCAGCUUACUAAACUGCCACUGACAUUGAUGCUCGAAAGUGUGGGUAGCAAACAGGAUUAGAUACCCCUGUAGUC